rnacentral:rRNA from 1 species
UACAUAGGGGCGAGCGUUAUCCGGAAUUAUUGGGCGUAAAGGGUACGUAGGCGGGCUUGCAAGUCUGAUUUGAAAGCACAUGGCUUAACCAUGUGAGGUAAUUAGAAACUACGAGUCUAGAGAGUGGUAGAGGUAAAUGGAAUUCCAAGUGGAGCGGUGAAAUGCGUAGAGAUUUGGAGGAACACCAGUGGCGAAGGCGACUUUCUGGUCUAUUAUUGACGCUGAGGCUCGAAAGCAUGGGUAGCAAACAGGAUUAGAUACCCCGGUAGUCCCU